CCUCCUUUUCUUGGCAGGCCUGGGCUACUCAGGUCCCAGCUCUGUUAUGUCCGGAGGUAAAGCAAAGCCCACCCAGUGUUCUGUCUUCGGUGCCAGCGGCGUUACCAUCUGCUGGUUUCUAUCCUCAAGUGCUGGGACAAAA